AAUAUUGGGCAAUGGAGGCAACUCUGACCCAGCCAUGCCGCGUGAAGGAUGAAGGCCUUCGGGGUGGUAAACUUCUUUUUUAUGGGAGGAAAGGACGCUUGCGAGAGGCGUUGACGGUACCAUAUGAAUAAGCACCGGCUAACUCCGUGCCCGCAGCCGCGGUAAUACGGAGGGUGCAAGCGUUGUCCGGAUUUAUUGGGUUUAAAGGGUGCGUAGGCGGCUUUAUAAGUCAGUGGUGAAAGACUGUGGCUCAACCAUCGAAUUGCCAUUGAUACUGUAGAGCUUGAGUAUAGUUGAGGUAGGCGGAAUUGACGGUGUAGCGGUGAAAUGCAUAGAUAGCGUCAGGAACACCGAUUGCGUAGGCAGCUUACUAAGCUAUAAAUGACGCUGAGGCACGAAAGUGUGGGGAUCAAACA
rnacentral:rRNA from 1 species